rnacentral:lncRNA from 1 species
AACCAGGUCAAGGAUGUAAUGUGCACGAUUUAAAAGUUGAGGGAUGUAUUUUGUCCGGUUUUAGAGUUCAGGGAUGAAAAUCAGACUUUCGCGAAAGUUGAGGGACCUAGAGUAGACUUUUUCCUUUUCGUUUUGUUAUGCAGAUACAUGCAAAAUGAAGGCCUCCUACCAAAAAUUUAAAAAAAAUGCAAUUAUAUACCCCUACGGACGUAUUUAAUACUCAGACAAA